rnacentral:rRNA from 1 species
GUUGACCUCGGAUCAGGUAGGAAUACCCGCUGAACUUAAGCAUAUCAAUAG